rnacentral:rRNA from 1 species
CCUACGGGUGGCAGCAGUGGGGAAUAUUGCACAAUGGCGGAAACCCUGAUGCAGCGACGCCGCGUGAGUGAAGAAGUACUUCGGUACGUAAAGCUCUAUCAGCAGGGAAGAAAAUGACGGUACCUGUCUAUGAUGCCCCGGCUAUCUACGUGCCAGCAGCCGCGGUAAUACGCAGGGGGCAAGCGUUAUCCGGAUUUACUGGGUGUAAAGGGAGCGUAGAGGGCAGCGUAAGUCUGAAGUGAAAUCCUAUGGCUUAACCAUGGAACUGCUUUGGAAACUGUGCAGCUGGAGUGCAGGAGAGGUAAGCGGAAUGCCUGGUGUAGCGGUGAAAUGCGUAGAUAUUAGGAAGAACACCGAUGGCGAAGGCAGCUUACUAAACUGUAACUGACGUUGAGGCUCGAAAGCGUGGGGAGCAAACAGGAUUAGAUACCCCAGUAGUC